GAUGAACGCUGGCGGCGUGCCUAAUACAUGCAAGUCGAGCGAACAGACGAGGAGCUUGCUCCUCUGACGUUAGCGGCGGACGGGUGAGUAACACGUGGAUAACCUACCUAUAAGACUGGGAUAACUUCGGGAAACCGGAGCUAAUACCGGAUAAUAUAUUGAACCGCAUGGUUCAAUAGUGAAAGACGGUUUUGCUGUCACUUAUAGAUGGAUCCGCGCCGCAUUAGCUAGUUGGGAGGGUAACGGCUUACCAAGGCAACGAUGCGUAGCCGACCUGAGAGGGUGACCGGCCACAGUGGGACGGGGAGACGGCGCAGACGCCUACGGGAGGAAGCAGGGGGGAAUAUUGCACAAUGGACGGAAGCAGGAUGCAGCAAGGCCGCGUGCCGGAUGACGGCCUACGGGUUGGAAACCGCAUUCGCCUGUGACAAAGCGUGAGGGACGGUAAUGGGUAAAGAAGCACCGGCUAACGACGUG
rnacentral:rRNA from 1 species